UACGUAGGGUGCAAGCGUUAAUCGGAAUUACUGGGCGUAAAGCGUGCGCAGGCGGCUUUGCAAGACAGAUGUGAAAUCCCCGGGCUUAACCUGGGAAUGGCAUUGGUGACUGCACGGCUAGAGUGUGUCAGAGGGGGGUAGAAUUCCACGUGUAGCAGUGAAAUGCGUAGAGAUGUGGAGGAAUACCGAUGGCGAAGGCAGCCCCCUGGGCCAAUACUGACGCUCAUGCACGAAAGCGUGGGGAGCAAACAGG
rnacentral:rRNA from 1 species